rnacentral:rRNA from 1 species
CGACGGCAAGGGACGAAAGUUAGGGGCACGAACCGGAUUAGGUACCCGGGUAUUUCUAGCCGUAAAGAUUACUCGGUAGGGGUCGGCCACGGUGCGCCCGUGGUCGGUGCCGUAGGGAAGCCGUGAAGCGAGCCACCUGGGAAGUACGGCUGCAAGGCUGAAACUUAAAGGAAUUGGCGGGGGAGCACUACAACGGGUGGAGCCUGCGGUUUAAUUGGAUUCAACGCCGGAAAUCUCACCGGGGGCGACAGCAUGAUGAAGGCCAGGCUGAAGACCUUGCCUGAUCCGCUGAGAGGUGGUGCAUGGCCGUCGUCAGUUCGUACUGUGAAGCAUCCUGUUAAGUCAGGCAACGAGCGAGACCCACGCCCACAGUUGCCAGCGAGCCCUUCGGGGUGGCGGGUACUCUGUGGGGACCGCCGCUGCUAAAGCGGAGGAAGGAAUGGGCAACGGUAGGUCAGUAUGCCCCGAAUCUCCCGGGCUACACGCGGGCUACAAUGGUCGGUACAAUGGGUAUCUACCCCGAGAGGGGAUGGAAAUCUCCUAAAACCGGUCGUAGUUCGGAUUGAGGGCUGCAACUCGCCCUCAUGAAGCUGGAAUCCGUAGUAAUCGCGUUUCAACAGAACGCGGUGAAUACGUCCCUGCUCCUUGCACACACCGCCCGUCAAACCACCCGAGUAGGGUCUGGAUAAGGGUGCGCCAUGUUGACGCAUUCGAAUCUGGGCUUAAAAAGGGGGGUUAAGUCGUACCAAGGUAACC